CACGCUUCGAAUCCACGGCACAUCUCGUAACGUCACUACGGAAUGGAAUAAAAUCUGAGUACAUGGUGCAAUGAAUGCAACUACAGCAUUUUACAUGCUACAGUUUUUCCUGAGGGCCCCCUUCAGGAGACUAAGGAAUGAAAGAAGAUGGCUGUAGCUGGACUGAGGGACAGCUACACUGACAAUAAACUCACCCAAUUUACAGCAUAAUCAUUUCAUUAAUAUAGCAAAUAAACGAACUACAAAGUAA